GCUGGUAUGGUGUAGUUAGGCCCAUCAUGAAGCCCUCUCGAGGCUUCGACCCGGGUUCAAAUCCCGGUACUAGCA
rnacentral:tRNA from 1 species